ACUUUGCUUCCUUGUGGCUGCUUGGGUACUACGAGCAGGUGCUUAAAACUCAAAGAACUUGGCGGCUUGUUAACUACCUAGGGGAAUAUGUGCCUUAAUCCGAUGGUCCCCGACAUAUCUUACUAAGUCUUGAAAAAAUCAGUUGGUGUAUUGCCGUUGUCAGCCUGUUGUUGAGCAAAAAGAAACAGGCUUAAAGGAAUUUUCUGGUGAGCAGAAAAUGAGCCUUGAAUUCAGGUCGUAAUACUGCCUAUGGCUUAGGGAGCGGGUGUUACAAUUUAAAUUUGAAAGGACGGAUUCUUUUAUGAAAAAAAGAUGAAGGUGAACUUAGAAGUAAGGAGAGAUUAACAUGCUUUUCUGAACAUGAAUCUAGCUUGUGUACAAACUGCCCGU
rnacentral:rRNA from 1 species